rnacentral:rRNA from 1 species
GAUGAACGCUAGCUACAGGCUUAACACAUGCAAGUCGAGGGACCGGCGCACGGGUGAUUAACACGUAUCCAACCUGCCCUUAACUCGGGGAUAGCCGUUCGAAAGAACGACUAAUAUCCGAAAUAAAGGAUGGGGAUGCGUACCUUUAGGUUGUUGGUGAGGUCACGGCUCACCAAGCCUUCGAUGGAUAGGGGUUCUGAGAGGAAGGACACCCACAUUGGAACAGGGACACGGUCCAAACGCGGACGAGAAGCAGCAGUGAGGGAAAAUGGUCAAUGGGCUCUAGCCUGAACCAGCCAUGUAGCGUGAAAGGUGGAGGCUUGUGGAUCGUAAACUUCUUUAUAUAAGAAUCUGUAUUAUAUGAAUAAGGAUCGGCUAACUCCGUGCCAGCAGCCGCGGUAAUUC